GACGAACCGUGCGAACGUUGUUCGGAAUCACUGGGCUUAAAGGGUGCGUAGGCGGCCCGGUAAGUCAGUGGUGAAAGCCUGUUGCUUAACAACAGAACUGCCAUUGAUACUGCUGGGCUUGGGUACAGAUGCUGUGGGCGGAAUAUGACAUGUAGUGGUGAAAUACAUAGAGAUGUCAUAGAACACCGAUUGCGAAGGCAGCUCACAAAACUGUAACUGACGCUGAGGCACGAAAGUGCGGGGAUCAAACAGG
rnacentral:rRNA from 1 species